GCCCCCUCACCAUCCCCCUCCUCACCCGCCCCCCCCACCACCCCCCUCCUCACCACACGACCCAUCCCCUCACUGCGGCCCCCUCCUCACCAUCCCCCUCCUCACCGUGUCCCCCUCACCAUCCCCCUCCUCACCGCGCCCCCCACCAUCCCCCUCCUCACCACGACCCAUCCCCUCACUGCGGCCCCCUCCUCACCAUCCCCCUCCUCCCCGUGUCCCCCCUCACCAUCCCCUCCUCACCGCGCCCCCCCACCAUCCCCCUCCUCACCACGACCCAUCCCCUCACUGCGGCCCCCUCCUCACCAUCCCCUCCUCACCGUGUCCCCCCUCACCAUCCCCCUCCUCACUGCGCCCCCCUCCUCACCAUCCCCCUCCUCACCGUGUCCCCCCUCACCAUCCCCCUCCUCACCGCGCCCCCUCCUCACCAUCCCCCUCCUCACCGCGCCCCCCUCACCAUCCCCCUCCUCACCGUGCCCCCCCCACCAUCCCCCUCCUCACCGCGCCCCCCUCCUCACCAUCCCCCUCCUCACCGUGCCCACCUCACCAUCCCCCUCCUCACCGUGCCCCCCACCUCACCAUCCCCCUCCUCACCGUGCCCACCUCACCAUCCCCCUCCUCACCGCGCCCACCUCACCAUCCCCCUCCUCACCGUGCCCACCUCACCAUCCCCCUCCUCACCGCGCCCCCCCCCCCCCAUCCCCCUCCUCACCGCGCCCCCCUCACCAUCCCCCCCCCCCCCGUGCCCCCCCCCAUCCCCCUCCUCCCCCCCCCCCCCCCCUCACCAUCCCCCUCCUCACCGCCCCCCCCCCCCCCCCCCCCCCCCCCCCCCCCCGCCCCCCCCCCCUCCCCCUCCCCCUCCUCACCGUGCCCACCUCACCAUCCCCCUCCUCACCGUGCCCCCCCCACAGCGCCCCCCACCUCAGCAUCACCCCUCCUCAACCUGCCCCCCACCUCACUAUCCUCCUUCCUUACCACGCCCCCACCGCGCCCCCCACCUCAUCAUUCCCCCUUGUCACCGUGCCCCGCCCCCCCAGAGCCUGCGCUCCCCUCUCUGUCCCGUGGAGCGCCAGAGUGUCCUGGGAGCGGACCCCCUCCUCCCGGGCCGCGUUCACAGGCUCCCAGGCUCACCCGCUCCCAGGCUCGGUUUCUUCUCUCCGUGAGCCCCUCUCGCCCGCGGCUCCAGCGGUCUCGUCUCGGGGCCUCUCGGCUCUGGCUUCUGCUCUGCCUCCCACUCCUGUCGUCCUCGGCCCACGAGGCCUCCUGGACGCCCGGCCACACCCUCCCCCGCGUGCCCUUCUGUCCGCUGUGCCAUCGGGCUUCCUCCUGCCGCUUCUCCAGCUCUUAAACAUCGGGAUCCGGCGAAGUGGGCCUUGUGGGUCCACCAGGGACGCUCCCCGACGGCUCCGGACACCUCUGCCCAGACCGCGCCGCCGGAACUCAGGCCUGUGUGUUGCUCUGGAACUCCAGACUCAAAUUCCAGCCGCCUUUGCUACGCCUUCGUUUCGAUGA
rnacentral:lncRNA from 1 species